rnacentral:rRNA from 1 species
ACAAUGCAAUUCGAGGGGUUAACCAGGGAGCUUGCUCCGCUGACGACCGGCGCACGGGUGCGUAACGCGUAUAGAACCUACCUUUUACUGAGGGAUAGCCUUUAGAAAUGAAGAUUAAUAUCUCAUAGUAUUGAGAAGUGGCAUCACUUUUUAAUUAAAGAUUUAUUGGUAAAAGAUGGCUAUGCGUCCUAUUAGCUAGAUGGUAAGGUAACGGCUUACCAUGGCGACGAUAGGUAGGGGUCCUGAGAGGGAGGUCCCCCACACUGGUACUGAGACACGGACCAGACUCCUACGGGAGGCAGCAGUGAGGAAUAUUGGGCAAUGGAGGCAACUCUGACCCAGCCAUGCCGCAUGCAGGAAGACGGUCCUAUGGAUUGUAAACUGCUUUUAUACAGGAAGAAACACUCCCUCGUGAGGGAGCUUGACGGUACUGUAAGAAUAAGCACCGGCUAACUCCGUGCCAGCAGCCGCGGUAAUACGGAGGGUGCAAGCGUUAUCCGGAAUCAUUGGGUUUAAAGGGUCCGCAGGCGGUCAAUUAAGUCAGAGGUGAAAUACCAUAGCUCAACUAUGGAACUGCCUUUGAUACUGGUUGACUUGAGUUAUACGGAAGUAGAUAGAAUGUGUAGUGUAGCGGUGAAAUGCAUAGAUAUUACACAGAAUACCGAUUGCGAAGGCAGUCUACUACGUAUAUACUGACGCUCAUGAUGA